CAGCCGCCGCGGUAAUACGUAGGGGGCGAGCGUUGUCCGAAGUUACUGGGCGUAAAGCGCGCGUGGGCGGCUUCUUAAGUCUGAGGUGAAAGGUUCAACGCUUAACGUGAACAGUGCCUUGGAUACUGGGGAGCUUGAGUAUGGGAGAGGGCAGUGGAAUGGCUGGUGUAGCGGUGAAAUGCGUAGAUAUCAGUCGGAACACCCAUGGCGAAGGCAGCUGCCUGGCCUAAUACUGACGCUGAGGUGCGAAAGCGUGGGGAGCGAACAGGAUUAGAUACCCGCGUAGUCCCUGUCUCUUAUA
rnacentral:rRNA from 1 species